AUACUUACCUAGCACAAGAUAUGCCAUGAUCAUGAAAGCGGAUUACCCAUAGCAAGGUUUAUACAUUGCACUCAAAAUGUGCUGACUCCCUGGGAUUUCUCCUACUGCUGGGAAACUUUAUUGCAUAUUUUAUGGUAAUGAGGAGACUGAUUUUGUGCUCUUCU
ensembl:snRNA Gm25421 predicted gene, 25421